GACGAACGCUGGCGGCGUGCUUAACACAUGCAAGUCGAACGGAAAGGCCCUGCUUUUGUGGGGUGCUCGAGUGGCGAACGGGUGAGUAACACGUGAGUAACCUGCCCUUGACUUUGGGAUAACUUCAGGAAACUGGGGCUAAUACCGGAUAGGAGCUCCUGCUGCAUGGUGGGGGUUGGAAAGUUUCGGCGGUUGGGGAUGGACUCGCGGCUUAUCAGCUUGUUGGUGGGGUAGUGGCUUACCAAGGCUUUGACGGGUAGCCGGCCUGAGAGGGUGACCGGCCACAUUGGGGCUGAGAUACGGCCCAGACUCCUACGGGAGGCAGCAGUGGGGAAUAUUGCACAAUGGGCGGAAGCCUGAUGCAGCAACGACGCGUGCGGGAUGACGGCCUUCGGGUUGUAAACCGCUUUCGCCUGUGACGAAGCGUGAGUGACGGUAAUGGGUAAAGAAGCACCGGCUAACUACGUG
rnacentral:rRNA from 1 species